rnacentral:rRNA from 1 species
GAUGAACGCUGGCGGCGUGCUUAACACAUGCAAGUCGAACGGGAAACCUUUUAUUGAAGCUUCGGCAGAUUUAGCUGGUUUCUAGUGGCGGACGGGUGAGUAACGCGUGGGUAACCUGCCUUAUACAGGGGGAUAACAACCAGAAAUGGUUGCUAAUACCGCAUAAGCGCACAGGACCGCAUGGUCCGGUGUGAAAAACUCCGGUGGUAUAAGAUGGACCCGCGUUGGAUUAGCUAGUUGGCAGGGUAACGGCCUACCAAGGCGACGUUCCAUAGCCGGCAGGAGAGGGUGAACGGCCACAUUGGGAGUGAGACACGGCCCAGACUCCUACGGGAGGCAGCAGUGGGGAAUAUUGCACAAUGGGGGAAACCCUGAUGCAGCGACGCCGCGUGAAGGAAGAAGUAUCUCGGGAUGUAAACUUCUAUCAGCAGGGAAGAUAGUGACGGUACCUGACUAAGAAGCCCCGGCUAACUACGUG